rnacentral:lncRNA from 1 species
CGGCUGGGGCUCACCUGGGGACCACGUGCGGAGUGUGUGGGAACAGUGUAACCUGAACAAGAACGUAGUGUCUAUAGGAUGAGUGACACUUGGAAGCAGAGGCAGAGUGCUACAUGGACACCUGACUGUACCAAAUGGUUAUUGUGUUUUCUCAAUCAGACGCCAAUUGCGGAAUACCAGCUGAUAUUCUACCCUCAACUCAUGCUAAAAGCUUUCUAGUCUUUCUCAAGGAAACCUGUCCAAAGGGAUAUGUGAUCCCAGGAAUUAUUAUUGUAUAAGUAAUACUUGGAUGUUUUUACUAAUAGUUCACACAUUUCACAGCCCUUUGGUGGAGAGCCUUUUUCGUUAAUGUUCUGUUCAAGAAUAAUUGCAUAGUAUUUAUAAUCCUCUCAGGGAUUAAGUAUAGAU